CCUACGGGAGGCAGCAGUGGGGAAUAUUGGGCAAUGGAGGAAAGUCUGACGCAGCAACGCCGCGUGAAUGAUGAAGGUCUUCGGAUUGUAAACUGCUUUUCUAAGGGAAGAAGACAGUGACUGUACCUUAGGAAUAAGCCUCGGCUAACUACGGGCCAGCAGCCGCGGUAAUACGUGGGGGGCGAGCGUUAGCCGGAAUGACUGGGCGUAAAGGGUGCGUAGGUGGUUUGGCAAGUGAGUGGCGAAACUCCAAGGCUCAACGUUGGAACUACUACUGAAACUGGUGGACUGGAGUGCGGGAGGGGCGAGUGGAAUUCCUGGUGUAGCGGUGGAAUGCGUAGAUAUUAGGAGGAACACCAGUGGCGAAGGCGGGUUGCUGGACCGUAACUGACGCUGAGGCGCGAAAGCGUGGGUAGCGAACAGGAUUAGAUACCCUAGUAGUC
rnacentral:rRNA from 1 species